rnacentral:lncRNA from 1 species
AAAAAAAAAAUAUAUGUUCAAAGACAUUAUCUGGAACAUCAAUAGAAUAAGUCAAGAGAAUUGAGCGAUUAACAAAGUGUCACAUAGUUCUUCUUAAGAACAACAUUUGAGUUCAGUUCUUUAACCUUCACAAACACAAGAAAGCUUCAAAAUGAUUGAACAAACCUCACUAAUGUCAGAGAAAAAUAACACGAUGACUUUUUCCUCCCAGGCGCGACUCCCAAGAAUCUCUGCAACUAAUUCCCGAUUUACUUUUCCACCGUAAGAAAUUCAAAUUUUCAAACGAUCCGACGCAGCUACUUUUUCCGGUGAGAAAUUUUUUGGAAUCUCGGCAUGGCUUUCAAGAUCCACCGAUUAUUUCCUCCCCUUGUCUCGUUUAUGAUAUCUGUUUGAAGGAAAGAAGCCAUCUGAAGCCUUUUUCACCAGUUGAAAAGUCUGAAGUCUUGCUCCAUUCCUUUUUUUUUUCUCGUCACCGGAGUUCCUGUGCUGACUAUGUUCACCGGCUCCUGAUGUCUCCGCCUCUGACCUUUCACCUUUAUCGUGUCUCUACACUCCAUCCCUUCUAGCUUUAUGCUAUGUCCUGUUCUCUUCUUUUCAUCAAAGAAGAAGACCCUGUAUCAUAAAAGAAAAUCCCUCAAGCUCCAGGGAUAACCGUCUAUCCUGUUACCUGAACUAUGAAGAAAUGAAGUCAAUCUCUGGUCCUGUCUAAAGCCGUUCAGAAAUCCACUUUUGGUGAUAUUAGGUGGUUAAGUGUUAUAAAAGUUGUAACCGGAUUAAACCGGAUAAAUUGAUCUUCUCUCAUAUAAAGGAGAGGUCGUGUGUAACAAACAUCUUAUCCAGAAUAACAAACUUUUCUUCCAUCUCUGUUUUCUUCUACAAAGCUAUUAUGGUAUCAAAGCAUUUUGCUCCGCUUCAUCACUCGUUUUCUUCCAUUUCUUCGAUUCUUCGAGCUCUCCAUUGAUCGAGCUCAUCAUCUUCACUGAUCCUUCCACUAGUUUCAUCCAAUUCGUUGUUUUUCAGCUAGCUCCGACUUCGCGAUGGUUUCCGUCAGAAAUCUACGGCGUCGCGGCGGUAAAUCGGCAGCUUCAGCUCGGAAAACACCUAUUCGCGAUGAUUCCUCCUCAUCUCCAACUCCGAUCAUCCCAUCUUCUCCGGCGAUUACGCAAAAUGCCUCGAUUGACUUUACGGAUAUGGUUUAUUCACCAUACGCGUUGACGAACGGUGAUAAUCCAGGAAGUGCAAUCAUAUCUGAGGUACUCGAUGGAACCAACUAUUCUACCUGGAAAAUUGCCAUGUCCGUUGCGUUAGAUGCGAAAAAUAAAAUAGGUUUUGUCGAUGGAUCUCUUCCGAGACUACCUGAAUCGCAUCCUAGCUUUAGGUUAUGGUCACGGUGCAAUAGUAUGGUAAAAUCUUGGCUAUUGAACUCAGUUUCAAAGCAAAUAUACAGAAGUAUUCUUCGAUUCAACGAUGCUUCAGAAAUUUGGAAAGAUCUGAUGGUCCGAUUUCAUAUAACAAAUCUUCCAAGAUCUUAUCAAUUGAUGCAACAGAUUUGGUCUCUGCAGCAAGGAUCGAUGAAUCUUUCUGAAAUACUAUACUGCAUUAAAGACACUGUGGGAUGAUUUAGAUGGCGCUGAAUGUAUCAGUACUUGUCACAACUGCAAAUGUUGCAGGUCAAUUGAUAAACAAGCUGAACACGCCAAAGUCAUCAAGUUUUUGGCAGGAUUGAAUGAGUCUUACACGACCAUUCGGAGCCAAAUUAUCAUGAAGAAGUCUAUUCCAGAACUGGCUGAGAUAUACAACCUUUUGGAUCAGGAUCACAGUCAAAGAAAUUUUGGUUUAGGCACUCAAAGUAACGCUUCUGCAUUUAAUGUCUCGGCUUCAGUGAAUGCGGCAAAGGCAUCCUACAAUAAUCCAAAACAGAACAAACCUCAAUGUACUCAUUGUGGAUACAUGGGUCACACUGUUGAUGGUUGCUACAAAAUUCAUGGAUAUCCUCCUGGUUUCAAGCACAAAAACAAAUCUGUUUCUGAUAGAGUGGAAAUGAGAAGCCUACAUCACAAGACAAAGCUACUUCUGAUAAACCAGUAGUAGCAAGUGUAGCUCUCGGUGAAAGUUCUAACUCACAACCAAACAGACUUGAUUCAGAUGGCAUCGCCAAAAUGAUUGGAGAAUUAUCAAAGGAUCAAAUCCAGGACAUGAUCGCUUACUUCAGUACUCAAUUGCAGACCACUCCAGCUAAAACAUCUUCAUCUCUCGGUGUUGUUGAUCUAGCUCCAAAUGGUACUGCAUUUUCUUCCUCUACACUAUGUUUUGUUGGAAUCUUGACAGCUACUAGGAAUGUGCUAACAAACCAAACAUGGAUCAUAGAUAGUGGUGCUACUCAUCAUGUUUCCCAUGAUCGAAACAUGUUUAAAAGCCUAUCUAAUGAUUUGAGCAAUACUGUUACACUUCCUACUGGUAUGAAUAUCAAGAUUGCAGGUGUUGGGAAGAUCAAGCUAAGUGAUCGGUUCAUAUUGAACAAUGUGUUAUUCAUCCCAGACUUCCGACUGAAUCUACUCAGUGUCAGUCAACUGACCAAAGAUCUUUGUUCCAGGAUUUCUUUUGAUGAAACUUCUUGUGUGAUUCAGGAUCGUAUCAAGGAGCAGAUGAUUGGACAGGGUAGACAGAUCGGUGGCUUAUACGUGUUGGAUUCUGAAGUUUUAUCAAGACCCUCUAAUGAUGUAAUUCCUUUCUGUUCUUCUGUUAUAGUUGAUGCAAAUUUGUGGCACAGUAGGUUAGGUCAUCCUUCCUACGAUAAACUUGAUCUUCUCUCCAAUGUAUUGGGAUUACAUAAACGGAAUAAAGAAGAUUCAUUACAUUGUGCCCCUUGUCAACUAGCAAAACAGAAACAUCUACCGUUCAUAUCAAAGAACAAUAUGACAGAUAAUGCUUUUGACCUCAUACACAUAGAUACUUGGGGGCCGUUUUCUGUUUCUACUCUAGAAGGAUACAGAUAUUUUCUAACGGUGGUUGAUGAUCACACAAGAGCCACUUGGAUUUAUCUUAUGAAGACUAAAGCAGACGUCAACCAAGUAUUCCCCGGGUUUCUACAAAUGGUAGAGACUCAGUAUGAGAAGAAAGUCAAAGCAGUCCGAUCGGACAAUGCUCCUGAGCUAAAGUUCACAGAGUUGUUCUUGAAGAAAGGAAUUAUCUCUUACCACUCUUGUCCAGAGACUCCACAACAAAAUUCAGUUGUUGAACGCAAGCACCAGCACAUUCUAAAUGUGGCCAGGGCUUUGAUGUUUCAAUCACGGGUUCCAAUUGAAUAUUGGGGAGACUGUGUAUUAUCUGCGGUAUUCCUGAUAAACAGAAUACCUACUCCUGUGCUAUCUAACAAGUCUCCAUUUGAAAUGUUACCUCUUUAUUUUUUCUAGUUUUUGCUAAGUCCUGUAUAUGAAGGAAUAAGUAUUUGCAAUAAGAAGACUGAAGUUUUAUCCUUUUUGUGAAGCGUGAAGAAUUUAAAUCUGGGAUUUUUUCUUGCUCUCUCUUUGUCCGAUGACUUCCCAAACCUGUAUCUCCGGCGUGCUCCUCAGGAAACAAGUCUUCUCUGCUUAAGAUUGAUGACUCUGACGACCAAGACUAAAGAUCUCUCCCCCCUGGGAAGUUUUUGAAAAACCGAUUACCUGAAGAUUCUCUUGGCUCUAACUGUAUACCAAGUUCAUCCCACAAAAACCCUUGAAGACCCCUACGACAUAAACAUAUUCUCACUAAUCUCUGUUAUUACUCCAAUCUCAACAAUGACGAACAAAUAAACCAGCAUUACCAAAGAUGACGAGGGGGAAAUUAUUUGAGGAGCAGGUUUCGUGGAGCAGUACAGUCGCUUGCGUUGGAUCGAGGUGAGCUACGAACCUUGGAAUCGAGGCUAUGGAUGGGACUUGAAAAACUGGAAAAAUCUCUGGAAGCAAAUUUCCAAAUCUCCGGCGGCCAAGGAGCUUAAUUGAAGAAGCGAAGUUUUAGUAAAAUGUUAAUUUUCUCCAAGAGCAAAAG